rnacentral:rRNA from 1 species
CGUGUAGGCGGGUCUACAAGUCAGAUGUGAAAUCUAUGGGCUCAACCCAUAACGUGCAUUUGAAACUGUAGGUCUUGAGUGAUGGAGAGGCAGGCGGAAUUCCUAGUGUAGCGGUGAAAUGCGUAGAUAUUAGGAGGAACACCAGUGGCGAAGGCGGCCUGCUGGACAUUAACUGACGCUGAGGCGCGAAAGCGUGGGGAGCAAACA